UAGCGCAGUGGCAGCGAUCAGCGAUUGGACCUUAAUUCCUGCUGCUGCCCGUAAGGAGUUGUAAGUCCACUUUCUCUGGUCUCACCCACAUUCCAAGGACGUACGGUGUGGGAGACAGUUGGAAUCCUAGGAGAUUGUGCAAACUCCAAAGAGAGAUCAUGAGAGGUCAGGAUCACAUCUGGGUUGUUGGAGCAAUCACAGUAUCUAUAAGAAGGCUUUUAUUACAUGCUGGCUGCCAUUUGAAGACAUCUCGAUGGAGAUGUAGCACAGAUAACUUAAUACAACUUCUAUUGGAAACCUUGUCAAGAGAUAAAUUAUAAUUAAGAUUACAUGAGGUUCUACUGAAGAAUAGACACCCAAAGCAUAUCAAUCAUCUACAGAGAGAUGAGCUUACAACGAGGGACCUUGUCAGAUGCCUGACAAAAAUCCAUACAGACAACAACCACUGCUCUACCUUUUGUCACCUCUGUGAAAUACUGAAUCAAAUCAGAUUACUGAACCGACAAGAUGAGAGUUUCCACAAGAAGAAAUUAAUGAUUCUACAAGAUAGCCACCAGCAAGAGCAGGUGAACAACGUCAACAUUGCACUUAAUGUUCAGGAGUGAUUGGGAAAGGUGACAUCUAUCUGAUGUACAGUAGAGUCUGUGUCACGUGACUUCUAUCUGUUCUACUGUCAUAUUCUAAAUGAUAGCUAUAGUAUCUAAUGACUAUAAAUUCAAAAACAACAUGGACCAUGAUCAGGCAUAUGAUUUUAGCUGAGAAGAUGCCUCCCAGCCUGGGAACAGAAUCAGUGCACUGGGAUCCUCAAGAGAAUCUACGCGGAACAUCCCAAGCACAACCAGACAGGAGAUAUCUCCCUCAUUAUUUGCUAACAUGGUCUCCUAUCCCUCCCCUUCCUUCUUCUGCUGUAACUAUAUCCUGUUAUGAAUAGAUAGUGUACACUCGACCAACAUGGCGAUUUAAACUCUCUAUGCAGAGAGCUAAAGGAAACCUCCUUAUCUGUUCCUUUACUGAAACAUAAUAUCAACAAUCUGUACGUCAUUCUCCAUUGGGCUCUAGGUGGCUUACUGACCUCUACAAUAAGAUCAGGAGUCUGCAGAUGAACGAGGACCCAAGAGCUGAAAGAGGGAUAAUUGUUUUUACUCUCCAGAGCCAGAUCUCUUUUUGGUAAAUAAAAUGGGCACUAUGGAUAAUCUCAAGAUGAAAGACUCCUUGAGUAAUCUGGAUACAUGGGGAUCAAGAAAACUCUUCGCCCUGCAUAUGGAGAGGAAUUGCAUUUUCAGUGACUAAUGGUCCUUAUGCUUCCUACUGGGAUAUCAGAUAAAGGCAGUCCAUCCCUGAAAUUUCAGGGAAUCCAUAUUUCUGGAAAAUUUUUCAACACACAAGGAGGGUCUCUACACAAGGAGGAUUGUGCACUAUAAACUAGAUUAUCAUGAAGAAAGUGGCAUGAUCCAGAGAGUAUGAACUUCAGGCUGACAGGGAUCUGUCACUUCAUGGACAGAGCAGCCUGGGCACAUGAGUGUACCUAGAACUAUUACUGUAGAUUAGAUCUUGUUCCCUACUAACAUAGAAAACAAUCAUUUGUGUGUGACCCUCCUCUGGCAGUACAAACCACCUAUGGCUCUAUGCUCUUUCUCCUACUUGUGCAGUAUAACCAGCUGGCAAAAACCUGGCAAAAAAAGUGAAACUCUGAAAUUCCGCUUUAUUUAAGCCAAUAUGUGCAGUACAGUUGCUGUAUGAUUCUUCUUGCCCCGAAGGGAUCUGACAUGAAACAUACAACAACAUGUAACCACAAGAUACAUUAGAAGAUCCUUGUUGUGAAGAUGGGAUAUGAUGGCAGAUGUCAAUGUGUCUGUUCUUCUUAACUUUCUAGGCUUGCAAUCAUUCUGGAUGACUAUGGCCAAUCUGCACCAUGCAUUAGCGAGGCCAGUAAUGCUCAGAACUUAGAAAACAAAACUUUGAGAGUGCUGUUUCUUAGUCCAGAAUGCAGUCCAAUGUCAGUGGGCAGAUGGUGAGUCAUGUCCAUCUGCGUACUCCCUUUGCUUCAUCUGCUACCUCAUUGCACAACAGGAGAUAUGAGCAAUGUUUUCCCAUACUGCUAGAAACAUACUCUUGUCACUCUGUUGAAUUUCCAUGUUAUUCUACUAUUUCAUAAAUUAAAUCAUGAUGGUGUUGUGCAGCAAAGGAAGCAAAUGUUUUAAGAUUGUGGUGGAAAGUCAAUAUUUUAGGUUAGAGGCUCUUUGUCAGAGAUGGCACAUCUGUGGAACGAGAAAAAAUGGGAAGCAGAGUUUGACUUGAAACAUUG